rnacentral:tRNA from 1 species
GGGGCUAUGGUGCAGCUGGGAGCACGCUACACUGGCAGUGUAGAGGUCACGGGUUCGAUCCCCGUUAGCUCCACCA